rnacentral:rRNA from 1 species
AGUGAACGCUGGCGGUAGGCCUAACACAUGCAAGUCGAACGGCAGCACAGUAAGAGCUUGCUCUUACGGGUGGCGAGUGGCGGACGGGUGAGGAAUACAUCGGAAUCUACUUUUUCGUGGGGGAUAACGUAGGGAAACUUACGCUAAUACCGCAUACGACCUACGGGUGAAAGCAGGGGAUCUUCGCACCUUGCGCGAUUGAAUGCGCCGAUGUCGGAUUAGCUAGUUGGCGGGGUAAAGGCCCACCAAGGCGACGAUCCGUAGCUGGUCUGAGAGGAUGAUCAGCCACACUGGAGCUGAGACACGGUCCAGACUCCUACGGGAGGCAGCAGUGGGGAAUAUUGGACAAUGGGCGCAAGCCUGAUCCAGCCAUACCGCGUGGGUGAAGAAGGCCUUCGGGUUGUAAAGCCCUUUUGUUGGGAAAGAAAAGCAGCAGGUUAAUACCCCGCUGUUCUGACGGUACCCAAAGAAUAAGCACCGGCUAACUUCGUG